UACGGAGGGUGCAAACGUUGCUCGGAAUUAUUGGGCGUAAAGCGCACGUAGGCGGCCGAAUAAGUCGGGUGUGAAAGCCCUGGGCUCAACCCAGGAAGUGCACUCGAAACUGCUCGGCUUGAGUAUGGAAGAGGGUUGCGGAAUUCCCGGUGUAGAGGUGAAAUUCGUAGAUAUCGGGAGGAACACCAGUGGCGAAGGCGGCAACCUGGGCCAAUACUGACGCUGAGAAGCGAAAGCAUGGGGGAGCGAACAGG
rnacentral:rRNA from 1 species